rnacentral:rRNA from 1 species
GAUGAACGCUGGCGGCGUGCCUAAUACAUGCAAGUCGAGCGAACGGACGAGAGGCUUGCUUCUCUGAUGUUAGCGGCGGACGGGUGAGUAACACGUGGAUAACCUACCUAUAAGACUGGGAUAACUUCGGGAAACCGGAGCUAAUACCGGAUAAUAUUUUGAACCGCAUGGUUCAAAAGUGAAAGACGGUCUUGCGGUCACUUAUAGAUGGAUCCGCGCUGCAUUAGCUGGUUGGUAAGGUAACGGCUUACCAAGGCAACGAUGCAUAGCCGACCUGAGGGGGUGAUCGGCCACACGGGAACUGAGACACGGUCAAGACGCCUACGGGAGGCAGCAGUAGGGAAUCUUACGCAAUGGGCGAAAGCCUGACGGAGCAACGCCGCGUGAGUGAUGAAGGUCUUCGGAUCGUAAAACUCUGUUAUUAGGGAAGAACAUAUGUGUAAGUAACUGUGCACAUCUUGACGGUACCUGAUCAGAAAGCCACGGCUAACUACGUG